UGGGGAAUAUUGGACAAUGGGGGCAACCCUGAUCCAGCAAUGCCGCGUGUGUGAAGAAGGCCUGAGGGUUGUAAAGCACUUUCGCUGGGGAGGAGUGAUUGCUAGGUUAAGAGCUAGGCAGUUGGACGUUACCCAGAUAAGAAGCACCGGCUAACUCCGUGCCAGCAGCCGCGGUAAUACGGAGGGUGCGAGCGUUAAUCGGAAUUACUGGGCGUAAAGGGUGCGUAGGUGGUUUGAUAAGUUAACUGUGAAAGUCCUGGGCUUAACCUGGGAAGGUCAGUUAAGACUGUUAGACUUAGAGUAUAGGAGAGGGUAGUGGAAUUUCCGGUGUAGCGGUGAAAUGCGUAGAGAUCGGAAGGAACACCAGUGGCGAAGGCGGCUACCUGGCCUAAUACUGACACUGAGGCACGAAAGCGUGGGGAGCAAACAG
rnacentral:rRNA from 1 species